UCUGGUUGAUCCUGGCAGAGGUUACUGCUAUCGAGGUUCGACUAAGCCAUGCGAGUCGAAUGUAGCAAUACAUGGCGUACUGCUCAGUAACACGUGGACAACCUACCCUUGGGAUGGGGAUAAACCCGGGAAACUGGGUAUAAUACCCGAUAGUUCUGGGAUGCUGGAAUGCCCCCAGAAUUAAAGCUCCGGUGCCCAAGGAUGGGUCUGCGGCCUAUCAGGUAGUAGUGGUGUAGCGUACCUACUAGCCUACGACGGGUACGGGUUGUGAGAGCAAGAGCCCGGAGAUGGAUUCUGAGACACGAAUCCAGGCCCUACGGGGUGCAGCAGGCGCGAAAACUUUACAAUGCCGGCAACGGCGAUAAGGGGACCUCGAGUGCCAGGUUACAAAUCUGGCUGUCGCGAUGCCUAAAAAGCAUUGCAUAGCAAGGGCCGGGCAAGACCGGUGCCAGCCGCCGCGGUAACACCGGCGGCUCGAGUGGUAACCGUUAUUAUUGGGUCUAAAGGGUCUGUAGCCGGCCGGAUAAGUCUCUUGGGAAAUCUGGCAGCUUAACUGUCAGGCAUUCAGGAGAUACUGUCUGGCUCGAGGCCGGGAGAGGUGAGAGGUACUUCAGGGGUAGGGGUGAAAUCUUGUAAUCCUUGAAGGACCACCAGUGGCGAAGGCGUCUCACCAGAACGGACCUGACGGCAAGGGACGAAAGCUAGGGGCACGAACCGGAUUAGAUACCCGGGUAGUCCUAGCCGUAAACGAUACUCGCUAGGUGUCGGCCACGGUGCGACCGUGGUCGGUGCCGUAGGGAAGCCGUGAAGCGAGCCACCUGGGAAGUACGGCCGCAAGGCUGAAACUUAAAGGAAUUGGCGGGGGAGCACCACAACGGGUGGAGCUUGCGGUUUAAUUGGAUUCAACGCCGGAAAUCUUACCGGGACCGACAGCAAUAUGAAGGCCAGGCUGAAGACUUUGCCGGAUUAGCUGAGAGGUGGUGCAUGGCCGUCGUCAGUUCGUACUGUGAAGCAUCCUGUUAAGUCAGGCAACGAGCGAGACCCA
rnacentral:rRNA from 1 species